rnacentral:rRNA from 1 species
GAUGAACGCUGGCGGCGUGCCUAAUACAUGCAAGUCGAGCGAACGGACGAGAAGCUUGCUUCUCUGAUGUUAGCGGCGGACGGGUGAGUAACACGUGGAUAACCUACCUAUAAGACUGGGAUAACUUCGGGAAACCGGAGCUAAUACCGGAUAAUAUUUUGAACCGCAUGGUUCAAAAGUGAAAGACGGUCUUGCUGUCACUUAUAGAUGGAUCCGCGCUGCAUUAGCUAGUUGGUAAGGUAACGGCUUACCAAGGCAACGAUGCAUAGCCGACCUGAGAGGGUGAUCGGCCAAACUGGAACUGGGACACGGUCCAGACUCCUACGGGAGGCAGCAGUAGGGAAUCUUGCGCAAUGGGCGAAAGCCUGACGGAGCAACGCCGCGUGAGUGAUGAAGGUCUUCGGAUCGUAAAACUCUGUUAUUAGGGAAGAACAUAUGUGUAAGUAACUGUGCACAUCUUGACGGUACCUAAGCAGAAAGCCACGGCUAACUACGU